rnacentral:rRNA from 1 species
UACGUAGGGACCGAGCGUUGUCCGGAAUCAUUGGGCGUAAAGAGCGUGUAGGCGGCCACUUAAGUCCUGCGUGAAAUCUUGCGGCUCAACCGCAAGCGGUCGUGGGAAACUGGGUGGCUAGAGUGCGGGAGAGGAGAGUGGAAUUCCUGGUGUAGCGGUGGAAUGCGCAGAUAUCAGAAGAACACCCGUGGCGAAGGCGGCUCUCUGGAACGCAACUGACGCUGAGGCGCGAAAGCUAGGGGAGCAAACAGG